rnacentral:rRNA from 1 species
GACGAACGCUGGCGGCGUGCUUAACACAUGCAAGUCGAACGAAGUGGCGAACGGGUGAGUACCGCGUAAUCAACCUGCCCUUCACAGGGGGACAACAGUUGGAAACGACUGCUAAUACCGCAUACUGAAGGAGGGGAUUGCGUGGGAUUAGCUAGUUGGAGGGGUAACGGCCCCCCAAGGCGAUGAUCAGUAGCCGGUCUGAGAGGAUGAACGGGCACAGCGGGACGGAGACACGGCCCAGACUCCUACGGGAGGCAGCAGUGGGGAAUCGUCCGCAAUGGAGGAAAGUCUGACGGGGCAACGCCGCGUGAGUGAUGACGGCCUUCGGGUUGGAAAGCUCUGUUAAUCGGGACGCGGUACCGGAAUAGAAAGCCACGGCUAACUACGUGCCAGCAGCCGCGGUAAUAC